UUGGCUUACCUUCAUCAGUCAUUGAGUACCCAGUGAUAUGAACGAUGAAUUCUCUAAUUAUAGGUAAAUUAUACGAAUACUUCCCAUUGAAACUGUUCUUUGUGUCUAGCCCAAUAUACCUGAGAUCAGGCGAACCCCCAACCAUGUAACUUGAUUUCUGCGAAUUUCAAACUAUCAUUUUUUUGUUAAGGAAUAAGCAACCCAACGAAUCACAGUAAACUGAACCUCUUUUAAGCACUGUGGCCUUCUGCUGGACAUGGUGUUGGUUUGGAAGAUAGACACGACAUGUUGGAGUAACUCUGCGGGACAGGCGACAUCUCUGGAUUGAAGGAAUGGGUGACGUUUCGGGUCGAGACCCCUUAUUGGAAUAUCAGUUAUAAUGGCGCACCCUCACUGAUGGUGAUAGGAAUGUUCGACAUAAGAAACUGCAGAUGCUAGAAUCUUGAACAAAACACAAAGUGCUGGAGGAACUCAGCGUGUCAGGCAGUAACUGUGGAGGGAGUGGACAGACGUCGUUUCGGGACGAGACGCUACCUAUCUUCAAACUCUCGCCAGGCUCGUUGGCAAUAGUGAAAAGAUAUCCUCGGGUCAGCUUAUUAUGGCUGCUGGCCUGACGAGACGCGCCGGGAGUCAUUAGGUGCGGGACAUAGGUUGGUGUUGAUCUCAGAGGACUGGUGACACUUAAAUUGCCUGAGCGCCGGGCGACGGGGCUGAUUGGUACCCGCGGUUACAGGAGCGGAGGGAACAGCACAGUGUCAGUCGCUGCUAGUCGCUCGCUCUAUGAUCAAAGCGGCUGACCAGGCGGCUGAUUGGACCUGGAGCCGCUUCUGGGCCAACGACAAUGAGCUAAUGUGCCGGGGCCGAGUCUAGGCGUCCCCCGCUGUCAGUGGCCGCGCUCAUAGCUCCAUCGCGCUGGACACGACAGGGUUCUCCCCACUCGGCCCAAUGAGCAGCCGCGACACAAGAGCCCAGAGGCCAUGCAGCAAAGUCUUGAUUGAAAAUAAAUCCACCUGUUCCACCAUUCAACUGAUUUACAGGCCGGGUCAGAGUUGCCUGAUCAAAGGCAGCGGGAGACUGUUAAUAAAUUUUCUCUGUCCGUGGCAGUUGAGCGAAUGUCUGUACCGUACUGAUGCGGUGAGUCUAACCCCCUGCACUCCAUAUACAUCAGAGUCUCUGAAAAUCGCCGCACCCUCCUCGGCAUCAGUUUGGAUCAGUUGAACUUUUAAACUAACGUCUCAAUUUCUCUCCAGUGACAUUUCUUUAUCAUAUAGAUACCACGGCGUUUUUCGCGUACGUCUGCCUGCUUUGAAUUCCGAUGAUAAAAGGGAACUGGCUGAUCAGGUUGCAACGGGGAGGAACCGGCGAGGAUGUGCCUCUCCCGUACCCAGGCAUCCAUUAGUGUCGCCCCUGGCGUCUCAUGCCAGUUCUCGCCUGUUAACCCCUCACUGGCACGGUUAUGAAUC